GGCGGAUGUAGCCAAGUGGAUCAGGGCAGG
rnacentral:tRNA from 1 species